rnacentral:rRNA from 1 species
AACCUGGUUGAUCUUGCCAGUAGUCAUAUGCUUGUCUCAAAGAUUAAGCCAUGCAAGUGAAAGUAUAUGCAUGUUUUAUAUGUAGAAACUGCGAACGGCUCAUUAAAACAGUUAUAAUCUACUUGAAAUUUCUACCUUACAAGGAUAACUACGGAAAAGCUGUAGCUAAUACUUGCUUUAAUGCGUUUGAAUCCUUUUGGAUUCCCGCGUAUGUACUUGUUAAGCCUUUAAGAAAGAAGUUUAUAACUUAAGGAAUUAUAACAAAGAAGUAACACAUAAUAAGGUUGCCUUAUUUAGUGUGUAUCAAUCGAGUUUCUGACCUAUCAGCUUUUGAUGUUAGGGUAUUGGCCUAACAUGGCUAUGACGGGUAACGGG